UUUACCGCCCACGAUUCGACCACCACAAAGACACUCGACCAUUCUCUCUUUUUUUUUUUUUGAACGGGUUUCUACAAGCGGUCUAUGAUCAGAUCCCCUCUUCUCCAAGAAAGCUUGAUUUGAAGCCGGAAAAGAUCUAAACCAUUCUUUGUUUCCAAAACUUCUGUCUAAUUUGGAUUGGAUCCAAUCAUUGCCUCUCUUACCUUCCCAUGUAAAACUGUUACCAGUACUUGGUAAUUCUUUCAUUCCACAGCCCUUCAACAUGUCUGAAAAGUCUUGAAAGGUGGAGUCGCUUCUUCUCGAUCGGUCCUCCUAAUUUUUCCUCAUUGUUAAGAAUUUCGUUGAAAUCUCCUAACAUUAUCCAAGAAUCCUUCCUUGCAGGACCAAACCUAAGAAUCCUUUCCCAAACAUGCUUCCUUUCUGAUAUAUUAGGAUGCC
rnacentral:lncRNA from 1 species